rnacentral:rRNA from 1 species
UACAGAGGGGGCAAGCGUUAUUCGGAAUUAUUGGGCGUAAAGGGCGCGUAGGCGGUUUUUCAAGUGACGGGUGAAAUCCCUCGGCUUAACCGAGGAACUGCCUGUCAGACUGGAAGGCUUGAGACCGGGAGAGGUGAGUGGAAUUCCCAGUGUAGCGGUGAAAUGCGUAGAUAUUGGGAGGAACACCAGUGGCGAAGGCGGCUCACUGGACCGGAACUGACGCUGAGGCGCGAAAGCGUGGGGAGCAAACAGG